rnacentral:lncRNA from 1 species
AAGAAGUUGAAAAGAAUGAAAAAAAAUGGUGAAGUAGAAAAUAAAGAAAGUGUGGAAGUUGAAAAAAAUAAGAGUGAUGAAGUGAAGGUGGAGGGAGUAAAAAAGAAAAGAGAGAGGAAUUCUAGAGUUUCUAAAGGAAAGGAGGUAGUGGGCGCUACUCCAAUCCAAAACCUUCCGUAUCCACAUGCUCCAUCUAAGAGGGAGAAUGAAC